rnacentral:rRNA from 1 species
UACAGAGGUCUCAAGCGUUGUUCGGAUUCAUUGGGCGUAAAGGGUGCGUAGGCGGCGCGGUAAGUCGGGUGUGAAAUCUUGGAGCUUAACUCCGAAACUGCAUUCGAUACUGCCGUGCUUGAGGACUGGAGAGGAGACUGGAAUUUACGGUGUAGCGGUGAAAUGCGUAGAUAUCGUAAGGAGGGCCAGUGGGUAAGGCGGGUCUCUGGACAGUUCCUGACGCUGAGGCACGAAGGCCAGGGGAGCAAACGGG